AUUGAACGCUGGCGGCAGGCCUAACACAUGCAAGUCGAACGAGUGGCGGACGGGUGAGUAAUGUCUGGGAAACUGCCCGAUGGAGGGGGAUAACUACUGGAAACAGUAGCUAAUACCGCAUACCAUCGGAUGUGCCCAGAUGGGAUUAGCUAGUAGGUGGGGUAACGGCUCACCUAGGCCACGAUCCCUAGCUGGUCUGAGAGGAGGACCAGCCACACGAGAACUGAGACACGGUCCAGAAUCCGACGGGAGUCAGCAGUGGGGAAUAUUGCACAAUGGGCGAAAGCCUGAUGCAGCCAUGCCGCGGGUAUGAAGAAGGCCUUCGGGUUGUAAAGUACUUUCAGCGAGGAGGAGUUACUCGCAGAAGAAGCACCGGCUAACGCCGUGCCAGCAGCCGCGGUAAUUC
rnacentral:rRNA from 1 species